UCCUACGGGAGGCAGCAGUGGGGAAUAUUGCACAAUGGGCGCAAGCCUGAUGCAGCGACGCCGCGUGAGGGAUGACGGCCUUCGGGUUGUAAACCUCUUUCAGUAGGGAACAAGGCCAGUGUUUAGCUGGUUGAGGGUACUUGCAGAAGAAGCGCCGGCUAACUACGUGCCAGCAGCCGCGGUAAUACGUAGGGCGCAAGCGUUAUCCGGAAUUAUUGGGCGUAAAGAGCUCGUAGGCGGUUUGUCG
rnacentral:rRNA from 1 species